GAAACGAGUUGAGGGCACGGUGCCCGUGAGCUGGGGCGCACGCCAGGGACAUCUUCCCUCCCCUGGUCCCUCCCCGAGCUUGAGGUCAGAACAGAGAUGAGAGUCUAGAGGAGAAAGGAAACUUUUGGGCUGAUGCCCACGCCGGGAAAGCUCUGGCCGACUCUUCGCGGCGCAAGCAUCUCGGUCUUCAUUUUACAGAUGAGCAUACUUGAAGCUUAGAGGAACCCAUUCAUUUCUUAAUCCAGCAGUUAUUGAAGCACCUACUUUGUGCCAGGCCCUGGGCUAGGCUCUGGAGAGACAACCACGAACAAGACACACGCUCCCGAAGGAAGACACAAAACAUAAGCGAGUGGUGCCCAGCUGAACUCGGGCCCACAGAGGUCCUCACAGAGGGGCCCAGGAGGGGCCCGCCAGCUCUGCCACAUAUGUAUCAAUACAGAGUGGUGGGCUGCCUCCCUGUACCUCUGUUUCUCCAUGUGGAAGUAGAGAACAUCUGCUCCCUUCCCCUAACUUUCUGGGAAGAAGGCCAGGGAGGAAGAGCCCUCUCUCCCCCAAGGUCUUGGUUCUUUUGGACAGGUCCACUUGCCAGAAGACCAAGGUGGAUUAUUUCUGCCAAAGCUGCAGGACAGGCCUCAGGGCUGGGCACGGAGCCCUAGUGACCUCACUGCUGGAGCAGGAGACACAAUGUUCGAGCCAUGGUCCAGGAAGAU